CAUGCGAGUCAUUGUAGCAAUACAAGGCGGACGGCUCAGUAACACGUAGUCAACCUAACCUAUGGACGUGGAUAACCUCGGGAAACUGAGAAUAAACCACGAUAGAUCAUGAUGCCUGGAAUGGCUUAUGGUUCAAACAAUUUAUUGCCAUAGGAUGGGACUGCGGCCUAUCAGCUUGUUGGUGAGGUAAUGGCCCACCAAGGCUAUAACAGGUACGGGCUCUGAGAGGAGAAGCCCGGAGAUGGGUACUGAGACACGGACCCAGGCCCUAUGGGGCGCAGCAGGCGAGAAACCUUAGCAAUGUGCGAAAGCACGACUAGGUUAAUCCGAGUGGUUCCUGCUAAAGGAACCUUUUGUCAGUCGUAAAACCACAGACGAAUAAGGGGUGGGCAAGUCUGGUGUCAGCCGCCGCGGUAAUACCAGCACCUCGAGUGGCCAGGAGGUUUAUUGGGCCUAAAGCAUCCGUAGCCGGCUAUGCAAGUCUCCGGUUAAAUCCAACUGCUCAACAGAUGGGCUGCCGGAGAUACUACAUAGCUAGGGAGCGGGAGAGGCAGACGGUAUUCGGUGGGUAGGGGUAAAAUCCACUGAUCCAUCGAGGACCACCAGUGGCGAAGGCGGUCUGCCAGAACGCGUUCGACGGUGAGGGAUGAAAGCUGGGGGAGCAAACCGGAUUAGAUACCCGGGUAGUCCCAGCUGUAAACGAUGCAAACUCGGUGAUGCGUUGGCUUAUGGCCAACGCAGUGCCGCAGGGAAGCCGUAAAGUUUGCCGCCUGGGAAGUACGGACGCAAGUCUGAAACUUAAAGGAAUUGGCGGGGGAGCACCACAAGGGGUGAAGCCUGCGGUUUAAUUGGAUUCAACGCCGG
rnacentral:rRNA from 1 species